UCUCUCCCAUGCUACUGUAGGUUACUCUCCCAUGCUACUGUAGGUUACUCUCCCAUGCUACUGUAGGAUAAUAUCUGGAUUGUUUCAUAAUAACUCUUGUCUGGUGUGGGAUGUGCAGUUCCGGAGUGCAGAGAAUAACUUGUACUGAUGUGGAUUGGAGCAAACAAACCAUCUACAUAGUGGUGAUGUGUACGUUUUAGAUUAUAUUAUUACUAUUAUUUUAUUAAGGUUGUGUAUGUUUUACAUUAUUUUAUUACUAUUAUUUUAUUAAGGUUGUGUAUGUUUUACAUUAUAUUAUUACUAUCAUUUUAUUAAGGUUGUGUAUGUUUUUGUAGUAAAGGAAUAUAACGUUCCAGAUUAAAUGUAUCUUUGGAGAAAGUGAAGUGUGUGUGGCUUUUACUUUUUAAGUCUUUUGCUUGAAUAAAAACCACGCUUACAAAUGAAUGAUGAUAACAACCCUUUGCUACUCCAUGUCUUAAAGUAAAGUGUUAUAAGUCAAUGUGGGUGUGAGGUAGCAGUAAUAAAAUGCUGUUUUAUAACCCCUA